CCUUAACCUCUGCGUGUUUAUUUUCCCUGUUUCACGGUGUCCGGGGGAAUCCCCUGCCCACAGGGCGAGGCUGAGGGUGGGGUCAGGGCGGCUCCCUUGGGGGCUCCGGCGGGGAGUCCCAGGUGGGCAGGGUAUCCAGGGGAGGACAGGAGGGAAAUGGUCCGAGUCCUGAGUCUGUGGGAACUGGAACGGGAGGGGUGGCCGCCGGGCUCCCGCCUGGACGAGGGUGGCUCAGGGACACCGGCCGGCCACUGCUCACCCUCCUCUCUCCCCUGCACGCGGUUCGUCUCAGGCAGAGCCCCCACACAACUGGGCCCGCAGGACGCGGACCCCUUGAGUCCUGCCGCAGAUGAGGAAACACCCGGUGGGGGUGAUGGUUCCCUAAGGGACCCCAGGGGUGCAGGUGCAGAAGCCCUACGGCAGAUCGUGGGCUGGACCCUGGAGUGCGCCCCAGAUGCUGACGGGGCUCCAGACGGCAGGACGGACGCCCAGGGAGGCUGCAGUGGUCCAGCCGCCUCACCCGUGCAGCCUGGAGACUGGACAGGUCUUCCCGGCCCCAGGACAGGGCAUGGAGGGCCCCCCCCCCGGCCUGCUCGGCCAAGAGUGAAGGACAGAAACCCCGGGGCCCUGACGAAUAAAAAGUGGACGCUGGAGAAGAUUGGGGGGAACAUUUAAAAGUGGGGAGCCACUCUGCGUCCUUCCCCAUGAAACUUGGCGGCUUCCCUGAUGGACACCAGGUGAUUCAAACAACCAGAAAGCUCCCUAUUUUCUGAAACAGAAGGUGCGUUUCUGGGUGGGGGCCCUAUCCUCCCAGGCCCCCCUCGUACCCGCU